rnacentral:rRNA from 1 species
UACGAAGGGGGCUAGCGUUGCUCGGAAUCACUGGGCGUAAAGGGUGCGUAGGCGGGUCUUUAAGUCAGGGGUGAAAUCCUGGAGCUCAACUCCAGAACUGCCUUCGAUACUGGAAAGCUCGAGUCCGGGAGAGGUGAGUGGAACUGCGAGUGUAGAGGUGAAAUUCGUAGAUAUUCGCAAGAACACCAGUGGCGAAGGCGGCGAUCUGGGAAGAUACUGACGCUGAGGAGCGAAAGCGUGGGGAGCAAACAGG